rnacentral:rRNA from 1 species
GUGACCUCAAAUCAGGUAGGACUACCCGCUGAACUUAAGCAUAUCAAUAAGCGGAGGAAAAGAAACUAACAAGGAUUCCCCUAGUAACUGCGAGUGAAGCGGGAAAAGCUCAAAUUUAAAAUCUGGCAGCCUUUGGUUGUCCGAGUUGUAAUCUAGAGAAGUGUUAUCCGCGCUGGACCGUGUACAAGUCUCCUGGAAUGGAGCGUCAUAGAGGGUGAGGAUCCCGUCUUUGACACGGACUGCCAGGGCUUUGUGAUGCGCUCUCAAAGAGUCGAGUUGUUUGGGAAUGCAGCUCAAAAUGGGUGGUAAAUUCCAUCUAAAGCUAAAUAUUGGCGAGAGACCGAUAGCGAACAAGUACCGUGAGGGAAAGAUGAAAAGAACUUUGGAAAGAGAGUUAAACAGUACGUGAAAUUGCUGAAUGGGAAACGCUUGAAGUCAGUCGCGUUGUCCAGGGAUCAACCUUGCUUUUGCUUGGUGCACUUUCUGGUUGACGGGUCAGCAUCAAUUUUGACUAUUGGAAAAAGAUUAGGGGAAUGUGGCAUCUUUGGAUGUGUUAUAGCCCUUGGUUGCAUACAAUGGUUGGGAUUGAGGAACUCAGCACGCCGCAAGGCCGGGUUUUUAACCACGUACGUGCUUAGGAUGC